UAGCCGGUCUCGCGAAUGCAUUAGAUUUAAGUUUGAUCAUGGCUCAGGNUGAAGCGCUACGGCGUGCCUAAUACACGCAAGUCGAGCGAAUGGAUUAAGAGCUUGCUCUUAUGAAGUUAGCGGCGGACGGGUGAGUAACACGUGGGUAACCUGCCCAUAAGACUGGGAUAACUCCGGGAAACCGGGGCUAAUACCGGAUAACAUUUUGAACCGCAUGGUUCGAAAUUGAAAGGCGGCUUCGGCUGUCACUUAUGGAUGGACCCGCGUCGCAUUAGCUAGUUGGUGAGGUAACGGCUCACCAAGGCAACGAUGCGUAGCCGACCUGAGAGGGUGAUCGGCCACACUGGGACUGAGACACGGCCCAGACUCCUACGGGAGGCAGCAGUAGGGAAUCUUCCGCAAUGGACGAAAGUCUGACGGAGCAACGCCGCGUGAGUGAUGAAGGCUUUCGGGUCGUAAAACUCUGUUGUUAGGGAAGAACAAGUGCUAGUUGAAUAAGCUGGCACCUUGACGGUACCUAACCAGAAAGCCACGGCUAACUACGUGCCAGCAGCCGCGGUAAUACGUAGCGUGGCAAAGCGUUAUCCGGCAACUUUUUGGGCGUAAAGCGCGCGCAGUGGUUUCUUUAAGUCUG
rnacentral:rRNA from 1 species